UAUUUUUAAUAGUCAUUGUGCAAUUCUUUUCAAGCAUGUUAUCCACUGGCACUGGAAAAAACCAAAAACAAAGAAUACAUUUGAAAUUAAUCGUGGGAUCUCCUCCAGGUCCGAUGUAGCCAAACAGAACGCCCAGCACGAGGAAUAUUACGAAUGGAACGAAAAUGCACGAGCACACUGCUAUUUGUAUGAUGGAAUAUUUUCCACAACUCCACAUGGCACCCAUGGGAGCCCGAUUUUUUAUUAUUUAGCCAAACAGAGAAAUAACAUCUGAUCACUACUGUUUGACAAGGAAAAUUUAAUGGGAAUUUUAUUAAAUUACUUUUCAAUAAA